rnacentral:sRNA from 1 species
CGUAGGUGAACCUGCGGAGGGAUCAUUACAAGUGACCCCGGCUACGGCCGGGAUGUUCAUAACCCUUUGUUGUCCGACUCUGUUGCCUCCGGGGCGACCCUGCCUUCGGGCGGGGGCUCCGGGUGGACACUUCAAACUCUUGCGUAACUUUGCAGUCUGAGUAAACUUAAUUAAUAAAUUAAAACUUUUAACAACGGAUCUCUUGGUUCUGGCAUCGAUGAAGAACGCAGCGAAAUGCGAUAAGUAAUGUGAAUUGCAGAAUUCAGUGAAUCAUCGAAUCUUUGAACGCACAUUGCGCCCCCUGGUAUUCCGGGGGGCAUGCCUGUUCGAGCGUCAUUUCACCACUCAAGCCUCGCUUGGUAUUGGGCAACGCGGUCCGCCGCGUGCCUCAAAUCGUCCGGCUGGGUCUUCUGUCCCCUAAGCGUUGUGGAAACUAUUCGCUAAAGGGUGUUCGGGAGGCUACGCCGUAAAACAACCCCAUUUCUAAGGUUGACCUCGGAUCAGGU